GUCAGUGUCAUCAAUUAAGCAUUCUUUGUCUAUCCUAUCUCACAGAUUUCAUCUAGAGUUUGACAUCCACAAGGCAUACAAAGAGGAUAGCUAGAUCGCAGGAGGAUUUCCUCAAGUCUCCUCAAUAUGGAGUGCUUCAGUGUGACAACUGAAACCCAGCAAGAUCUGGAAGAAGAUGGUGCUCACAGAGGCAAGAUGAGACCAGUAAGCUGUGUGAGGAAAUGAUUUGCAACCUAAGGAGAGGGAAGCUCAAUGACUUUGCUACAGCAUCUUUCCCAGUGUAAGGAGGCCUUCUGGUGGUCAAAACAGUGAAUACUUCUUCCAGAGAGCAUUACUCAUCCAAAUGCAAUAGAAGAGCAACUCCAUGCUCCCAGCUUUAUUCACAAUUCCAUGUGAAAACCACCCUUUCAAGCGUGCAUUUCCCACUGGAGGGAGAAGAGGGGAAAGGCAACACAGAGGAGGAGCAACACACUGAAGAUGGGGCCUGCAUGUCAACAGUUGAAAAGAAAAUGCAGUUUUACUUCUGCAAAGUGUCUGAAAAUCAGCAAGAUCUCUUGGGCUGAGGUGGUGAGAGACGUGGAGUAAGUUUUACAGAAGCUUCAGAGACCUGGUGCAAUUUCUCUUUACUGGUUGAACUGCUAAGGAGACUGCCCAGAAAGCAGUGCAUACAAACUCAUUCCCUUCUUCCAGAAGGCAAUUCAACUCCCUCAGAACACCUCCAUGAACUGCUAUGUUUGAUGGCUGAUAAUUCUAAGCAUUUAUCAUUUUAGCUGUUUCACUUUGCCCGGAUUCUUUAAA
rnacentral:lncRNA from 1 species